AUGGUCCUAAUGCAUGACAAACACAGGCGUCGCUCAACGCUAAAUAUGGGUCGGCUCCAUGAUUGUGUCAGGGCUGGGGUAUUCAUUGGGUACCUACCCACCCAAUGUUAAUGGUCCGUGCAAACUGCUGCUGUGGCACCCUGCUAUGACAACUCUGAUGAGGGUCCAUGGUCAAUGAUUGUUAUCUUAUAUCGUUUGUAUGGCCUGCUACCCGUGCCCUGCUACAUACAAAGCAGCAGCCCCAUGAUUAGUGUUAUGAGCGACACCUGUGUUAGUCCUAUGGUUAGAGCUCUGUGAAAGGGGUCCAAAAUGCAAUUAUAGACAUGGAUAUAAUUGUCUAUAAUAAUCUAUGAUUCAGAAAUGUGCUUAAAUUUCAGAAUUUGGGAUUUAAAGAUGUUCCAACCUGCUGUGCAGUCUCAUUGUUGGAUAUCAUGGCUGGAUCCUUGGAAGUGGGAAUGCAUCAGAUUCUAAACUCUUCCUCAGACCGCUAUUAAAACAAAGAAUAUCCAAAGGCUAGCCAGAAACCCAACGGAUAUGCAUGCAAAGAUUCGAUCGGGGAGAUGAGGGAGGAUCAGCAACCACCCACCCGCAUUUGUUUGAUCCUUGUCUCCUUCUUUCAUCUUAAAUGAUAGAUGGAUAUAAAUGUAUAUUAUGUAUGGUGGGCUUUGGUGAGUGUUUCAAAGUAGUUUCAAAUCACUACAUUCAAUAAACUUUAUUUGGGCAAAAUGUAUUUGAACUAUUUCAACUGACUGUGAACUUUGUGCCAAUUUAUUGCCACAAUUGCCUCACUUCAGGCACAAAAUAAAGCCUAAUUAUUUGUAAUGGAACAUCUAACACACACCGACACAUGUUUAAUCUGUCCGCCUGACUGUUGAAGAGGCGUAGCACCUGAGAGCCAGGCACCGCUAGUUGCUUAA